UUCGGGGGACAAAGUGACAGGUGGUGCAUGGUUGUCGUCAGCUCGUGUCGUGAGAUGUUGGGUUAAGUCCCGCAACGAGCGCAACCCUUAAGCUUAGUUGCCAUCAUUAAGUUGGGCACUCUAGGUUGACUGCCGGUGACAAACCGGAGGAAGGUGGGGAUGACGUCAAAUCAUCAUGCCCCUUAUGAUUUGGGCUACACACGUGCUACAAUGGACAAUACAAAGGGCAGCUAAACCGCGAGGUCAUGCAAAUCCCGUAAAGUUGUUCUCAGUUCGGAUUGUAGUCUGCAACUCGACUACAUGAAGCUGGAAUCGCUAGUAAUCGUAGAUCAGCAUGCUACGGUGAAUACGUUCCCGGGUCUUGUACACACCGCCCGUCACACCACGAGAGUUUGUAACACCCGAAGCCGGUGGAGUAACCAUUUAUGGAGCUAGCCGUCGAAGGUGGGACAAAUGAUUGGGGUGAAGUCGUAACAAGGUAGCCGUAUCGGAAGGUGCGGC
rnacentral:rRNA from 1 species